rnacentral:rRNA from 1 species
GGAAUCUUCGGCAAUGGGGGCAACCCUGACCGAGCAACGCCGCGGGAGUGAAGAAGGUUUUCGGACCGUAAAGCUCUGUUGUAAGAGAAGAACGUGUGUGAGAGUGGAAAGUUCACACAGUGACGGUAACUUACCAGAAAGGGCCGGCUAACUCCGUGCCAGCAGCCGCGGUAAUACGGAGGAUGCGAGCGUUAUCCGGAUUUAUUGGGCGUAAAGCGAGCGCAGGCGGUCUUUUAAGUCUAAUGUGAAAGCCUUCGGCUUAACCGAAGAAGUGCAUUGGAAACUGGAAGACUUGAGUGCAGAAGAGGACAGUGGAACUCCAUGUGUAGCGGUGAAAUGCGUAGAUAUAUGGAAGAACACCAGUGGCGAAGGCGGCUGUCUGGUCUGUAACUGACGCUGAGGCUCGAAAGCAUGGGUAGCGAACA